UAUCUUCUCAUCUUAGUUCUGAAAUUUUCUCUGUAUAUUUUCUCCUUUUGCUGUUCUUAUCCUAUAUAUGUUGGGAAUGAAUAACCGUGUUGAUCUGGUGGAGAAAAUCACUCCCUGGAGAGAAUCAUGGAAAGUGCAUGUUAAAGUUGUGAAGUUGUGAUACCACAAGAAUCUUGCUUUGGAUCUUUCUCAAAAUCUGUUGCAUAUGGUCUUAAUGGAUGAGAAGUUACACAAGAUCCAAGCAACGAUUAGAGACCAGCUUAUAUCAAAGUUUGUUGUGCCUCUAAAUGAAGGGGAUCUGUAUUUGAUGACCGAUUUUACAGUUGUACCAAACACUGGUUUGAACAGAGUGACCAAACAUCGAUUCAGAAUUUUGUUCCAAUACAAGACCUCUGUUGUUUCUGUGGUAUCUCCAAGGAUACCUUAUUCCGGCUUGUGUUUUACAUCAAUAGAUGAAAUAGAUCAAAUGAAAAAGGACCACAAUUUCCUCAUUGACUUUGUUGGGAUCAUUACUGGUGUUCGAAAAGAAAGAGAUGUAGCAUCAUAUGGGAAGCUGAUCAAAGCAGUUGUGCUAGAAGUUUUAGUGAUGGCAAAAAGGUCCAAUGCAAUAUGUUUGGAAAUGCUUGUGAUCUGUUGGAAUAUGAUAACUUACAAAAAUAUCCAAGAUCUCCACUGAUUGUCCUCGAGGCUUUUAAAAUCAAAGCAAUUGAAGGUGGAGUAAUUCUACAAAAUGUGAUAAAUGUCUCUAGGUUAUUCAUUAAUCCCGACGUUCCUGAGUCUGUUGAGUUCCUAAGCAGAUUUAGUGUAGCCAGUUAUGGAUUCUCAAGACUUGUGACCAAUGACCUUGGAUACUUAGUUUCUAAAGUUGAUGGUGAUUAUUUCAAUCCCAAAGAGAUCAGUAAUAUUCAAGAUCUUCAUGUAGAUAACGGGGAUGCUCAUUACUUUGUUACUGGGACAAUUAAGGAAGUUAUGGAUGAACCAAAUUGGUGGUACUACUCAUGUGUAUGUGGUCAUGUCGUUGUUGAGCAUGAUGAUCUCUACCUUUGUGAUGCUUGUGGUUUAUGUGUUGAACAUGUUAUGGUCAAGUAAGGUUCAUAUGUAACUCUAUUAUGGAAUGGAUUAAUUAUCAAUCUUUUGCAUUUUUGGUUAGUUCUUUGUUAUGCAUCAGUCUAUGUGUUGUUAAGUAGAUUUCUUGGUUUUAGUUAUCAUUCUUGGUUGUCAAUUGUGUUAGAUAUGGGAUUCGGGUAAAGAUUCACCAUGCUGGGUGUGCUGUUUUGUUUGUUCUGCUUGAUAAUGCGGUAACAAAAUUAUUUGGGAAAACUUGUUCUGAAGCAUUUCUCAGGAUAGAAGAAGAAUUCCCUGUUGAUCCUAGUGUGCUUGCAGUAUGAACUCUUUCAUAUUGAACCUCAUUUAAUCUUUGUUAUUUUUUUUUGUGUUCAAGUUUAUUGAUUCUUUUAUAUUAAACUCCCAAGGUCUGUCGGUCAUAUUCUCCACAAAUAUUUGGUGAUGUUGUUGGAGAGGAGAAAGUUUUCAAGGUUGAAACUCUUUCUGCAGUUGAUGCAGAUUACUCCGGGUCCUUUAAAAUUAUAAAUGUCUUUAGUUAUAAUCCGGAAUCAGCUGCAACCGAUGAUUAUAUGAAUGCAAGGCUUCAGGAUCCCAUUUUUCCACCAAUCUAUGAUGCCUAUUUGCAGUAUGCAACUGCUGAAGAUUACAAGACUCAAGUAGUGUGUGAUAAUUCUAUUCAAUCAGAAACUAUUGAAGAUAUUAUUACUGAUCUUAUUUCACCCAAUCGCUGCUAUUCUGAUGUUGACAACGGUGGUUUCGUUUUUAUUCUCGGAACUAUAUCAUCUGUUUUGAAGAAUCAUAAGUGGUGGUUCUCAACUUGUUUAUGUGGUUCUCUUGUGUCAGCUAAUAAACAAAUUUUAUCAUGUGAUCUAUGUCAGCUUCAAUGCAUUCAUGCUGUCCCAAGAUUCUGCUUGAAGAUUGUAGUGUCUCAUGCAAAUGGCAACAAUAUAUUUGUUCUUAAAGAUCGUGAGGUUGUGUAAAUAAUAAAGACAAGAUGCUCGAGCUUUUUGGAUAAUCACCCAGAGUUGAAUAAGGGAUCUUAUUACAAAGUUGUUCCAUUGAAACUCAUUUCAAGUCUUUUGCACAAAAAAGUUAUAUUCAUGGUUGAUGCUAGGCCUGUGGGUUAUGAGAUGAAUCGAUCUGUGUAUAUUGUUCAACAAAUUUGGGAUGAUGCCUCCGUUAUUAAUGUUUUUGAGGCUGCUGCUGAGAUGAAUGAGCAUAAGAUUCAUGUUCUGGUUGAUUCUAUGCCUGAAGUUGAAGAUGCUUUCAGCCAACGUGGAAGCGAUCAUGAGGCUGUGGAGGAUCUGCAUGCUUUUUAGUUUAAUAUGUUAACAUACUACUUUAAAUUGUUGUUGUGGAGGAUCUUCAUGCUUUUUAGUUUAAUAUGUUCAGAUACUACUAUAAAUUGUUGUUUGAUUUGUAAUACAAUGUUAGUCUCUUGUGAAUUCUAAU